UGGACUGCUGUCUUCACUCAAAGCUGGUGUUGUACCAGUUAUGUGGAUUUUCAUCCCCAUAUACAUUAAAGGAAAUAAGAAAAAUGACACUCAUUUUAGGCUGUGGGUUUGUAACUAAACAAAUAAAAUGGCAGUUUGUUAUGGAAUUUAGAAUGUAGUGGUGCGUAGUGAUUUAUUCAGUGUGAAGCGGCUCAUUAGUAUGCAAGCCAUGGUAUACACUAUAUAUAAGCACGGUCAUGUGAUGCUGUUGAACCAAUCAGAGUUGGUUAUUUUUUGUACUAUUGUAAUGUUUCAGACUUCAUCAGGUAUAGUUUCAGCCACUUACAGAUAUUUGCUUUUGUAAAAUCACCUAGUGUAAUGAAAGCAUCUUUUAAACCUGAAAAGCACCUAAAGUGUUGUAACUAUGCUUUGAUUGUUAUGAAACUGCCAUCCUUUUUAUUUACUGUAAUCCAAGCCAUAGUGUCAAAGCCUCCCAUAAAAAUAUUUAGAAUCCAGAUCAAAGUCUAACUUUGAAUUUUUUAAAAAUAAUAACUCUUUUACUCUGGUAAACAUUUAUAAGGGCUAUUUCGCAGAGCAGUAAUGUUGUCAGUACUGUGCAAGUGUUUUUUUGUUGAUCUAUUGGUUUUUACUAGAGAGCCUCACUUAAAAGAUGUGUGUUCUUGUUCAAAUCCCAGAUCAAUCCAAAGUGAACUGAAACAAUCAAAGAGGAGUCUGUGAUGAAGAGCCACUUGCAGUAGGCUUUGCAGCAGCUGUAUUUUAUUGGACUCUCUUCCGCCCUGCAGCCUGUAGAAAAAUAACAGACUCCCACUGGCUUUGAUAUAAACAAGAGCUCUGCUGCCAGCACACACCGCUCCCUGAGAGAGGCAGAGAGAUCCCUGAGAAGAACGUGACUGUGCCACCAGGUCACAAGCAACAGAAGAAGCAAUUAUUAUGUGAAGAAAGAGGACUUGGUAAAGGAGCUUUUACCUUUACAGAAGCACAAACAGUACAGAAAUUAUCUGGGACUAUUACCACCAAACAACAAAGGAGUAGCGGAUAGAAUGCAAGGCUUGGUAUCGGGUUGUGGGUAGCUGAUGAGAAGGAAAGCUAUUGAGCAGUCCAGGACACUGUCAUCCUGCAGAGUGAGCAAAGGCCAAUGCAGUACUCCCUCUCGGCCACCAUCCAAGAUCAACAACAGACUCUAACAACGUGGACAGGAUUUGAACCACACACACAACAACAAGACUUCUGCAAUAGUGGUUUUAAAGCUUUUAACCUCAUCUCACCAACAGUGGACAGGACAGAAUCCAUAAUGGCAAUGCAUCACAGAGCAUUACCUGUUACACAAAGUUUAUUCCAAUAUGGGUUAAACAUAAUCAACUACAAACCAGAAAUGUAUCCACCACAGCGGAGUGAACAUUUUGACAAAUGAUGUUGUUACUCUUUAUGCCACAUUACCAGAUGCAGAGCUUUAUCGAAGGAACGCAAUUCUCAGAAUUCAGUCACUUAAUUUAGGUUUAAACUUACUUUAUUUUCAGUACGUUAUACUGUGUACAUAAACAGAAAACUCCACUAUAUUUAACUUACGAGGAGGAUAAACAACCCGCCUGCAGCCAUACUCGUUAAUGGAAUAACUUUAGUUCUCCAUGAGCAUCCAUGGUGUAUCCUCUAGGGAUUUAUGGCACUUCCACUAUAUCCCUAUCAUUGACGGUACACCUACUGUACUAUAUUAGACCAGGGGAAAGGGAAUUCCAAGACUGAAGAUGGAAAGACAAAAGCCCAGGUGUUGUUUGCAUAGUAACCUUGGGAGCACAUCCUGUAGAUGAAUCAUUUCAUGACGGUCACAGCUUACAGUGUAUUCUAUUCGUAGUAGAUGUCAGGUGCACAUAUGCACUAAUUGCCAGCUGCAGGUUUAAAAUACAGCAAUUUAAAUAAAGCUAUACUAACGUGACUCAGGUGCAUUCACAUGUUAAUUAAACGGUGUUGUAAAUCUCACACAAUACAUUUUCCUUCAUUGGGUUCAUGACAUUAGGUUUUUUCAACACAGCCACUUUCAGCAGAAUUAAGCUUGGUCUUUUUCAAGGUCUUAUGUAAUUUACGGCACAUCCUUGUGUAGCUUCAGUAUAAAUGUAUUUGGGUUCAUUAAUAUGCAAAGGAUUUGAUGGGUAGGAGCAACAGCAACAUUGUAUUUAUCUCCAGCUCUCUCUGUCUCUUUGUUUCUCUCUUUCCCAAUCUUCUUGUGCUUGCUCUGAUUCAAUUCAGCCAAUCGAA